GAGGAGGCCAGUGCCAUGAGGGUUAUCUCACGGCCCCAGAUGCUGGAUAACUUGAAGGAAGCAGAAUUGCUUUUGGAUGACAUUCAGAAAGGUCUGAAUGAUUAUUUAGAGAAGAAAAGACUAUUCUUCCCAA